rnacentral:rRNA from 1 species
UACAGAGGUCCCAAGCGUUGUUCGGAUUCAUUGGGCGUAAAGGGUGCGUAGGUGGCGCCGUAAGUCAGGUGUGAAAUUUCGGAGCUUAACUCCGAAACUGCAUUUGAUACUGCGGUGCUUGAGGACUGGAGAGGAGACUGGAAUUUACGGUGUAGCAGUGAGAUGCGUAGAGAUCGUAAGGAAGACCAGUGGCGAAGGCGGGUCUCUGGACGACUCCUGACACUGAGGCACGAAAGCUAGGGGAGCAAACAGG